rnacentral:rRNA from 1 species
GACGAACGAUGGCGGCGUGCUUAACACAUGCAAGUCGAGCGGAGCGGCGAACUGGGGAGUAACGCGUGAGUAACUGCCCCCCUCUCUGGGAUAACAGUUGGAAACGGCUGCUAAUACCGGAUAGUGGGGGGGGACUCGCGUCCUAUCAGCGUGUUGUUGGGGUAGUGGCCUACCAAGGCGACGAUGGGUCGACGGCCUGAGAGGGCGACCGGCCACAUUGUGCUGGGAUACGGCCCAAACUCCUACGGGAGGCAGCAGUCGGGAAUAUUGCCCAAUGUGCGAAACCCUGAUGCAGAAACGCCGCGUGCGGGAUGACGGCCUUCUGGUUGUAAACCGCUUUCAGCCAUGACGCGGUAGUGACAGAAGAAGCACCGGCUAACUACGUGCCAGCAGCCGCGGUAAUUC